UACGAAGGGGGCUAGCGUUAAUCGGAAUUACUGGGCGUAAAGCGUGCGCAGGCGGUUUUGUAAGACUGUCGUGAAAUCCCCGGGCUUAACCUGGGAAUGGCGAUGGUGACUGCAAGGCUAGAGUUUGGCAGAGGGGGGUAGAAUUCCACGUGUAGCAGUGAAAUGCGUAGAUAUGUGGAGGAACACCGAUGGCGAAGGCAGCCCCCUGGGUCAAAACUGACGCUCAUGCACGAAAGCGUGGGGAGCAAACAGG
rnacentral:rRNA from 1 species